CCUACGGGUGGCAGCAGUGGGGAAUAUUGCGCAAUGGGCGAAAGCCUGAUGCAGCAACGCCGCGUGAAGGAAGAAGGGUUUCGGAUCGUAAACUUCUAUCGACAGGGACGAAAGAAAUGACGAUACCUGGAUAAGAAGCCGCCGCUAACUACGGGCCAGCCGCCGCGGAAAUACGUGGGGGGCAAGCGUUAUCCGGAAGUACUGGGUGUAAAGGGUGAGUAGGCGGCAUGGUAAGCCAGAUGUGAAAGCCCUGGGCUUAACCCGAGGACUGCAUUUGGAACUAUCAAGCUAGAGUACAGGAGAGGAAAGCGGAAUUCCUAGUGUAGCGGUGAAAUGCGUAGAUAUUAGGAAGAACACCAGUGGCGAAGGCGGCUUUCUGGACUGAAACUGACGCUGAGGCACGAAAGCGUGGGGAGCGAACAGGAUUAGAUACCCGGGUAGUC
rnacentral:rRNA from 1 species